rnacentral:rRNA from 1 species
UACGGGGGGAGCAAGCGUUGUUCGGAUUUAUUGGGCGUAAAGAGCGUGUAGGCGGUUUGGUAGGUCCGCUGUGAAAACUCGAGGCUCAACCUCGAGAUGUCGACCGAAACCAUCUGGCUAGAGUCCGGAAGAGGAGAAUGGAAUUCCCGGUGUAGCGGUGAAAUGCGCAGAUAUCAGGAGGAACACCGGUGGCGAAGGCGGAUCUCUGGGCCUUACCUGACGCUCAGGUGCGAAAGCUAGGGGAGCGAACAGG